CCUUAUCAAGAGUGACGGAGGGAACAGGCCCUAUGAUGUCCGGCAACCUGCGGUAAGCAAGGUGCUAAAUCCUGCGGUCGAAACCGGAAGAUGAGG
rnacentral:ncRNA from 1 species